AUGAAUGUUGCCCAACAGAGGUUAUUUUGUGGAGUAUUUAAAGGAGCUAGGUUCCCUUAUGGGUUAGCAGCUAAUAUACGUGGUAAUGUGCAUGUCAAGGAAAGGAAAAUAAUCGGGCUAAAGAGCCAUGACAACCACAUCUUGAUGCAACAUUUGCUACCACUUGCUGUGAGAAGGCUAUUGCCCGAAAAAGUUAGUGCAGCAUUGAUUCGUGUUAGCAAUUUUUUCAAGCAGAUUUACUCACAUGUUAUUUCUGUUAGUGAUAUGGAAAAACUAGAGGCUGAAAUAGCUGAGACCUUGAGCAUUCUUGAGACUAUAUUCCCCCCAUCCUUUUUUGAUAUCAUGGUACACUUGAUGGUGCAUCUUCCAGCCCAAGCAAAAAUAGCUGGUCCAAUGCAUUUUCGCAACAUGUUUCCUAUAGAAAGGUAUUUGUGCCGGUGUAAGGGCUUUGUUCAUACUAGAAGUCAUCCAGAGGGAUCUAUUGCCAAGAGCUAUUUAUUUGAUGAGACUCUUACGUACUGUUCUCGGUAUAUAAAAGGCGAAACUCAGUUUACUCGACAAAUUAGAAAUGAUCAAGGUUUGGGUAUGGAAACUAGUAGUACCACACCUUUCUUC
rnacentral:rRNA from 1 species